AUUAAACGCUGGCGGCAUGCCUUACACAUGCAAGUCGAACGGCAGCACGGGGGCAACCCUGGUGGCGAGUGGCGGACGGGUGAGUAAUACAUCGGAACGUGCCCUGGAGUGGGGGAUAACGCAGCGAAAGCUACGCUAAUACCGCAUAUUCUGUGAGCAGGAAAGCAGGGGAUCGCAAGACCUUGCGCUUUGGGAGCGGCCGAUGUCGGAUUAGCUAGUUGGUGGGGUAAAGGCCUACCAAGGCGACGAUCCGUAGCGGGUCUGAGAGGAUGAUCCGCCACACUGGGACUGAGACACGGCCCAGACUCCUACGGGAGGCAGCAGUGGGGAAUCUUGGACAAUGGGCGGAAGCCUGAUCCAGCCAUGCCGCGUGAGUGAAGAAGGCCUUGGUU
rnacentral:rRNA from 1 species